GGUGCCGUAGUGUAAUGGAAGCACCCCUGCCGAUUAGAGGAUUAUAUCUUGAAAGCAGGUAGUGUGGGUUCGAGUCCCAACGGCGCUGCCA
rnacentral:tRNA from 1 species